GACGAACGCUGGCGGCGUGCUUAACACAUGCAAGUCGAACGGAAAGGCCCUGCUUUUGUGGGGUGCUCGAGUGGCGAACGGGUGAGUAACACGUGAGUAACCUGCCCUUGACUUUGGGAUAACUUCAGGAAACUGGGGCUAAUACCGGAUAGGAGCUCCUGCUGCAUGGUGGGGGUUGGAAAGUUUCGGCGGUUGGGGAUGGACUCGCGGCUUAUCAGCUUGUUGGUGGGGUAGUGGCUUACCAAGGCUUUGACGGGUAGCCGGCCUGAGAGGGUGACCGGCCACAUUGGGACUGAGAGACGGCCCAGACGCCUACGGGAGGCAGCAGUGGGGAAUAUUGCACAAUGGGCGGAAGCCCGAUGCAGCAACGCCGCGUGCGGGAUGACGGCCUUCGGGUUGUAAACCGCUUUCGCCUGUGACGAAGCGUGAGUGACGGUAAUGGGUAAAGAAGCACCGGCUAACUACGUG
rnacentral:rRNA from 1 species